rnacentral:rRNA from 1 species
GGACCCGCACAAGCGGUGGAGCAUGUGGUUUAAUUUGACGCAACGCGGAGAACCUUACCAGCCCUUGACAUCCCGGUCGCGAGGAGUGGAGACACACCUCUUCAGUUCGGCUGGACCGGUGACAGGUGGUGCACGGCUGUCGUCAGCUCGUGUCGUGAGAUGUUCGGUUAAGUCCGGCAACGAGCGCAACCCCUAUUGUUAGUUGCCAGCAUUAAGUUGGGGACUCUAACGAUACUGCCAGUGAUAAGCUGGAGGAAGGCGGGGAUGACGUCAAGUCAUCAUGCCCCUUAUGGGCUGGGCUACACACGUGCUACAAUGGUGGUGACAGUGGGCAGCGACUUCGCGAGGAGGAGCAAAUCCCAUAAACCGUGGCUCAGUUCAGAUCGUAGGCUGCAACUCGCCUACGUGAAGGCGGAAUCGCUAGUAAUCG